GCCUGAGGCAUCUCCAGCCACAGCAGGGCUCCAGUCUCAGCCUGGGGGACCAGGCGUCACUGACCCUUUUGAUCCCUACUCAGGUGCUCAGCUGCCCCAGGGAGCCACCGCUGGAGCCCAGGCCAUGCCCCACUGGAGCAGAAGUGAUUUCAGCCAGUCCCCAGAUGGAUGAGUCCCUGCAGAGCUCAGUCCCUCCUUGCAGAAGACAUUGUAGUCAAAGACCUAAUGAUCUUGAACAGGCUUCCUCCCAGGAGAAGGAACUUGAACAUCCUAGGGUGCUUUGAAGGUGUACCAGCCCUAGCCUAGACAAAAAACUGGGAGUAACUGGAAACACCACCCCUCUGGCCAGAUCAACAGUGUCUUCUGCCUGGAGAACCUACAAACAGGAUCAACAGCAUCUAGGGAUGUAGCCGUCAACUGUGGCAUAAGCAGGCUUACCUGAAACAGAGUACAAAAAGAAUUAGGCCUGCUUAUGAGAAGUGCUCAUUACAAGAUUCUACACAGAACAGAAACACUGGCCACCUGUGUUAAAGGGAUGGAAAGCAAAGGUGGAUGAGGCUGAAAGAGAUGUCUUGAUUCUAUGAUUCUAUGAUUUGCCGAACAACCAAGGCAUUUUACCAAAUUCCAUCACUAAAGUGCCCAAGGGAAUUAU